CUGACAUCCUAAUUUCAAAAGAUUUACUUCGAUGAGCAACUGAAUUUUCGGAUAAGUAGUUUAAAUUGAUGUAAUCCUCCAACCAACUCCCACUAUUAUUUUGACCGCAUCUGUUUGGGCAGCCCGUAACUAACACUCCAAGGUUGCAGGUUGCAUGGCCAAGUGGACAAACGGUGGCCAGUGGUUGGUGGCUAGUAGCUAGUAGCUGCUUGCUGGUGGCCAGUGGGCAGUGGGCAAUGGGCAAUGGCAAAUGGGAAAAGUGGCAAGUGGCAAGUGGCAAGUGGAUGGCCAGGCCAGGCCAGGCUAACCAGCUAACCAGCCAAGCGGCCAGCCCAAGCACUUUGCUUAUUAAAGUACAACAGCCGUCGUACAUCAGGCGAAAUUUAUUAUGAUGAUGUUGUGUGCAUAAGGCCAGUUUUUUGUAUUUCCUAGCAAUUUUUCCACCGAAAGGGCCAGCUCUGCGUUGGUGUUUGCCUUUAACCACAAGACUUUCCUUCGGAAUGGGCAACGUGUCGCAUAACCACCAGAGGAACGGGAAGAGCCCGAGGGCUUCGGAUGGCAGGAGAGAUGGAGGUGGGACUCCUGACCACAACAAAGCUGUCCAGCGGCCACGGGAGAUAGUCAGCAGGAAUGGCCGAGGGCGAUUGUGGUCAAGACACCUGGAACUUUUACAAGUAUCCGCCUUAAGAUGGUUGAAUUUGAAAAUGCCAUAAAAUGCAUAGUUAUUUGCUUUUUUCAUAAUUGAAAAAUAUUUAUGAAGUGAAAAUUGCCAUUUAUAAGUAAACAUAACAUUUUUCGUUUCCUAUCUUUUACUAUUGCUAUAUGGGCUUACGUCAAUUUUAUGUUGUUUUAACAGCCCAUGUUCAAUAAAAAUUCAAACCCA